AUGAGCGCUGGCGGCGUGCCUAAUACAUGCAAGUCGAGCGAACGGACGAGAAGCUUGCUUCUCUGAUGUUAGCGGCGGACGGGUGAGUAACACGUGGAUAACCUACCUAUAAGACUGGGAUAACUUCGGGAAACCGUAGCUAAUACCGGAUAAUAUUUUGAACCGCAUGGUUCAAAAGUGAAAGACGGUCUUGCUGUCACUUAUAGAUGGAUCCGCGCUGCAUUAGCUAGUUGGUAAGGUAACGGCUUACCAAGGCAACGAUGCAUAGCCGACCUGAGAGGGUGAUCGGCCACACUGGAACUGAGACACGGUCCAGACUCCUACGGGAGGCAGCAGUAGGGAAUCUUCCGCAAUGGGCGAAAGCCUGACGGAGCAACGCCGCGUGAGUGAUGAAGGUCUUCGGAUCGUAAAACUCUGUUAUUAGGGAAGAACAUAUGUGUAAGUAACUGUGCACAUCUUGACGGUACCUAAUCAGAAAGCCACGGCUAACUACGUG
rnacentral:rRNA from 1 species